rnacentral:rRNA from 1 species
AGUUUGAUCCUGGCUCAGGAUGAACGCUAGCUACAGGCUUAACACAUGCAAGUCGAGGGGAAACGAUAUUGGAAGCUUGCUUCCGAUAGGCGUCGACCGGCGCACGGGUGAGUAACGCGUAUCCAACCUGCCCAUCACUUGGGAAUAACCUUGCGAAAGUAAGACUAAUGCCCAAUGACAUUUAUAGAAGGCAUCUGAAAUGAAUUAAAGAUUUAUCGGUGAUGGAUGGGGAUGCGUCUGAUUAGCUUGUUGGCGGGGUAACGGCCCACCAAGGCGACGAUCAGUAGGGGUUCUGAGAGGAAGGUCCCCCACAUUGGAACUGAGACACGGUCCAAACUCCUACGGGAGGCAGCAGUGAGGAAUAUUGGUCAAUGGGCGAGAGCCUGAACCAGCCAAGUAGCGUGCAGGAUGACGGCCCUAUGGGUUGUAAACUGCUUUUAUAGGGGAAUAAAGUGAGCUACGUGUAGUUUUUUGCAUGUACCCUAUGAAUAAGGACCGGCUAAUUCCGUGCCAGCAGCCGCGGUAAUACGGAAGGUCCGGGCGUUAUCCGGAUUUAUUGGGUUUAAAGGGAGCGUAGGCCGGAGAUUAAGCGUGUUGUGAAAUGUAGACGCUCAACGUCUGCACUGCAGCGCGAACUGGUUUCCUUGAGUACGCACAAAGUGGGCGGAAUUCGUGGUGUAGCGGUGAAAUGCUUAGAUAUCACGAAGAACUCCGAUUGCGAAGGCAGCUCACUGGAGCGCAACUGACGCUGAAGCUCGAAAGUGCGGGUAUCGAACAGGAUUAGAUACCCUGGUAGUCCGCACGGUAAACGAUGGAUGCCCGCUGUUGGUCUGAAUAGGUCAGCGGCCAAGCGAAAGCAUUAAGCAUCCCACCUGGGGAGUACGCCGGCAACGGUGAAACUCAAAGGAAUUGACGG